ACUACGGGAGGCAGCAGUGAGGAAUAUUGGUCAAUGGACGAGAGUCUGAACCAGCCAAGUAGCGUGAAGGAUGACUGCCCUAUGGGUUGUAAACUUCUUUUAUAUGGGAAUAAAAUGUUCCACGUGUGGGAUUUUGUAUGUACCAUAUGAAUAAGUAUCGGCUAACUCCGUGCCAGCAGCCGCGGUAAUCCGGGGGAUCCGAGCGUUAUCCGGAUUUAUUGGGUUGAAAGGGAGCGUGGGUGGAUUGUUAAGUUAGUUGUGAAAGUUGGCGGUUCAACCGUAAAAUUGCAGUUGAGACUGGCAGUCGUGAGUACAGUAGAGGUGGGCGGAAUUCGUGGUGUAGCGGUGAAAUGCUUAGAUAUCACGAAGAACUCCGAUUGCGAAGGCAGCUCACUGGACUGCAACUGACACUGAGGCUCGAAAGUGUGGGUAUCAAACAGGAUUAGAUACCCGGGUAGUC
rnacentral:rRNA from 1 species